UAGAGUCACCUAGCACCGUCGUUCCGGUGAGACGGUGAAUGUUACGGGGCAGCGCAUAAAUUCAGCAGACGUUUCCUAAGUCGGGUGGCGGGCAACCCUUCCCUCGAAGCUCCGCCGGCCGGCGCCGUGAAGCCGGCCUGGCCGAAUCGGUUACCGUGCCCGGGAACCCCCGCGUUCGCGGGGAUUGCACCCAGCCCCGCCCGCCGCCCGCGUCCGCAGCGUACGAUCGAACCUAAGACUGAAUCUCCGCAAGUCAGUAUUAGGCCGUGUGCCAUCGAAGCGCGGUGACCGAAAAGUUGGUUCGCGCUACUGGUUAACACACUUAGUUGCCAAGGAGAGCAUGAUCCAACUUAAUGAUAGCGCUGUGACAGUAGUCAUCCCAUUUUGAUUGGACAGAGUGCUGCCAGAUUUGGGUCGAGUGCAAGGGAUAACCACCCAUUUGUUAGGUUGUGAACCACUUAAGACGAAGUGUUA
rnacentral:rRNA from 1 species